CCUUUAAAGAGAAGAGUGGUCAUCUCUUAAGACCUCAAGAGGUCUUAAUGUAUUUGAUAUGGUUAGGGAUUUUUUUGGUUAGUUACAUGCAAAAAUAACUCCAUAAGCUAGAACUAGUGACAUGAAUCCCAUUCUCAGCAGUUUCUAGCCUUAAGCAGUGUUUUUCAUGAGCACAACAUUAAUAUUUUAAAGACAAAUAAAGGAUGUGAUGAAUUUUUUGAGACAUCUCACCUACUAAAAUGUUUUUGAAAGCUAAAGCUUGGAAUGAUUCUUUAUACAUCAGUGAAACUGGUCUCUAAUACAGGAAAAGGUAGUCCAGGAUUGAGGAAAAAGACGAGUGGGUCAGAGAAAGAUGGCAUCAGUUACACCAAAGAUUUUAUCUUCUCCAUUUCUGAAGAUUGAUGAGCAAGCGCUGUUCCUGUUGUGCCACGGUACCCUGGACUGUAUGAGGACCCCGCUGUUAAUAGGACUGUGGGAGGAUACUGGUUGAAUAGGAUUCCUUCACAAACUUUGAUGGAUUCAUCCACCAGGUGUGUAUAACCAUAGAGCGUCUUUUAGGGUGUGAAGUGAGUUGUCCGUGGAAUCUGCAAAAAACUUCUGGUCAUCGAAAGGUAAAUCUUCCAUGGUUGAUUGGGUUUCUGCAGGAAGUAGAGACAACUGAAACCAGGAAGCUUGCCUCAUCAGUACUGCCAAGGAAAUAUACCAGGCUGAAAUGUCCGCUGCAUCUAGUGAAACCUGCAGUGAAAUCUUUGCCAAAAGCUGACCAUAUUUUAUUAUAGCGCUGAACUGUUCUUGAUGUUCCCAUGGU